rnacentral:rRNA from 1 species
CCAAUAGCGUAUAUUAAAGUUGUUGCAGUUAAAAAGCUCGUAGUUGAAUUUCGGGGUUAGCAGGUCGGUCGUGCCAUUGGUAUGAACUGGUCUCGCUGAUCCCUCCCUCUUGAAGAACUGUGAUGCCAUUAAUUUGGUGUCGCAGGGAAUCAGGACUGUUACUUUGAAAAAAUUAGAGUGUUUAAAGCAGGCUUACGCUUGAAUACAUUA